CUGUGCUUUGGUUCUCUCCUCGGUAAGGUGAGGACUACGGACGGGCUGAGCUUUCAGGCUCCCCACAGCUCUGCCCGACUCUGGUUCGCACCUCUCCGGGGUUCCAGGCACUCCCCCUCC
rnacentral:precursor_RNA from 12 species